AGCUGACGAGUCCCAAAUAGGACGAAACGCGUGUCCU
rfam:Schistosoma haematobium scaffold1860_9, whole genome shotgun sequence.